GUAGAUUUUCGUCCGGUUUGAGGGAGCUCUGUAGAAGGCGAUUUUUGGAGGAAUUUUCACGUGGGUGUUUGGGACUCGUGGUUGAAUGGGCUUCCUGAUUUUGUAACUUCUGUCAGAUUUCGAGACGUGGGCCCGGGAGCCGGGACAUUUGGAGGCCGAUUCGCGAGGCAAAGGCAUAUUGGAGUAAAGUUUUGCUCGAAUUGAGAUCCAAGUAUUUCCGGACACGGUGGACGUUGAUAUCGUGCACGGUCGAUCUUUGGAUAUUACGAUGUAGCUGCCUGGCGUUCACAGUCCUUGUCUCUCCUCCCUUAUCUUUUCUUUUGUUGUCUUUAGAUCCAGACUUUUAUAGACAUUUUAUUUCUAGACUGGUGAUGUAUAGAUGCUCAUGGGCUCAGUGACACCCUGGGAGCUAUUUUCCGCACUUAUGUUUGGGUUUUUACCCCGUUUUAUGAAAACUCUAGUUAUUUAAAAUUUCUUGAUUCAUUUUC